rnacentral:lncRNA from 1 species
GCAAAGACGAAAUGAGAGAAGCCUGGUGUGUGUGGUGGGGAGAGCAGCAUGUUUAAGAAAUGAGGUUCAUUUAGGAUUUUGUUAUUAGGUUUGUCCAAAGGAAUUGAUCAGGCCAUCAUGAUACGGUCUCUCCCCUCCAGCCGGGUUUCUGUGUACAGCAUACCAGCUCCAUACGACUCUGAGCAGACUGCAGGGCAGGAAAAUCUGCAUAUUCACUACUGCCCAACCGGCGGAGGAGGCUUGGGUCAGAAGUACUGUUUCUUCAAAUGGAUGAGGUUGUGUUUCUGGAGAAGAUGGCUUCUAGGAAUAUUACCUUUAGUUUCUUUAAUAGUUACAGUAAUCGUGCUAGUCCUGCACUAUUCAUUCUUUCCAGCUUUCUCCUUUAUUUAUAUUGGUGGAAGUGUAGAAAUUCCUAAUUUGACUUAUACAAAUGACCUCAGUGAUCCAAAGUCACAGAAAUUCCUCCUGCAAGCAGAAGCAAUCCAAAACUAUGUAAGUUCCCACAUGAAUAUAACAAUAAUUUCAAAAUAU